GGAGAGGUACCGAAGUGGUCGUAACGGGGUCGACUCGAAAUCGACUUGGGGGCCAAAAGCUCUCACGUGGGUUCGAAUCCCACCCUCUCCGCCA
rnacentral:tRNA from 3 species